GGGUCUUAGCUCUGUGGUAGAACAUCUGCCUUGCAUGCAGAAGGCCCAAGGUUCAAUCCCCAACAUGUCCA